rnacentral:lncRNA from 1 species
UUUUUAGUAAAAGGAAUUCCAUCAGUUCAUUUGGAGUCUGAUCAAUGCUGGGCGAACAGAUUAAAUUCUCUUUAGAGUAGCAAAUCUUAGGACUAUAAGCUGAAGUAGAACUAGAAAGUCCAGCCAUACCUAAGUCCAAGCUAGCCACUCUGGUCCUUUUCUCUGUUGUAUUCCAUUAAAGACCCUGAUAUCUGGGACUAGAGUUCCUGAGCACUCUAUACCCAUGACCUGGUCUGGAAGCAGCUCUUCUUAGCUGUCCUAUCAUGCCACAGUAACUCCGGGUCUCUGAGACAAGUGUCCUGAAACUCUUGAGUUCUCACAUGCCCUUUCAUCUUUCCCUCUUUUUUGAUCAAUCCAACCAAUUCAUGGCUUCCUGUUGAAUGUUAUUUUAUAAUAAUAUGGUUUAUGUUAUUAACACUCUUUAAUGUUAUUCAAGCCCAUCUUCUAUCAUGUCAUUGCUUAAAAAGCCUCAACAGUUCCUUAGGGUCAAGCCCACUGUGUGUGAGCUUCUUAACUGGGCAUUUAGAAUCCUCUCCAAUAUCCUCCACUACCUAUGAUUUAUAUUUUAGCCAAAAUGGACCCUUUAUAAUCUUGAACUUCAUUGCAUGUCUGCACUUCUAUACCAGUGCUGAAUCCCAAACUGAAAUCUGGUUCAUAUUUCAUGAAACAGCUGGUUUUUACACCCACAUCUUGAAAUCUCUUUCUAUUCCCUCACCUAGAUACAAACUCUUCAAGGGGCCAGUAGAGUAUAGUGGCUAAAAUCUUGGAUUCUAAAACCCAGCUGUCAAGGUUCAAAUCCCAGCCACACCAUGUGCUGACUGUGAGAUCAUAUACAAGUCUCUUUUCACUUCACAUCUGUUUCCUUAUCUGGAAAAUCAAGAAUAUUAAUCAGAUAUUAAAUGAGAUAAUAUACAUUUAAUCUAGUCCGUGGAACCCUGUAAGCAUGCAGCAACUGCGAGCUAUUAUGGCAGAUGCUGUUGCUAGCCCACCCACAUCCUCUUGGUAUUUGUCUCUACAUUCUCAACCUGUUUAUAGAAAACAUUCGUGACUCUCUGUAGUCAAGAUAGCAUGCUCAGCUCUCAUACAGGGCAGAGCAGAAGUUUCUGAGAUGUAAUCAGUCUCCCAAGAAGCGACACUCAGACAAUGACCAAUGGAGAGUCAGUGGAUGAAUACCCCUUGUUAGGAAUAACUCUGAACCCUAUUCUAGAGUGUGGACAGCAUAGAAUCUCUUAUUGUCUCCCAGACUUCCCCAGCAGGCUGUAACAUCAGUUGCCCGCAAUGGUAAUUGGCUUGGCAGAUACCUUCUGUCAGCUCCUUUGCCUUCCCUAACUUACUCUCCACUCUCUUUUAUGUAUUUCCUGGGAUCGUUUCCCAAAACUACUUGGAUUCUUGUCUCCGGGUUGGCUUCUGGAGGACUCUAAAACCAUAACUGCUCUUAUCACUACAGCUGACUUCUUUGAAACCAUGAAAAUACUGCUUUAUUUGCAUUCGUCUUCUGCUAGUUAGAGUCUACCUUCAUAAAACCUAAAAUCCAACAAAAAAUUAAGACCAAAAUACAAAUAUUUCUCACAGUACCUCUCACAUAGAAGUUACUCAAUCUGUAUUUAGAGAGCAAAGAAUAAUGGGAGAUCAAAAGAUUACUCUGUGACUAUAAAAAUAGAGCGAGGACUAUUGAUUGGUUACUAAGAAUAUUUUACAAACUUUUAUGGUUUGACACACCCUUUUAAUGGUGGUAUGUCUACCUAAUAUAUCUGCACCUUCCCAAAAUCCCCUCCCCUCGAUGUCAGCAUCAGGACUCCCCUCCUCCUCUAGCUAGAUUUGAGAGACACUUGCCAUUAUCUCAUCAUUAUUUUAUCAUGUUAAUGUACUUGUGUAACCUUUUAUAUUUUCUAAAUAUGAAAAAUAUUUUACAGAGAUUACAUUUGACGCAGCUGCUUCCUGAAGACCUAGAGAUCACUUUAAUCUUACAAGCACAUUCUUCAGAUUGUCGUGUGGGUGGGUAACUUCCGCCAGACUUUUCUGGAGAUGGCUAAUCCAGCCGUGGGAUGUGGUUUCUUCUAACAGCCAGUCAGGAAAAUCUUGCUUCUCAAACUCCUGUCUUGACCCCUUCCUGAACUUUGCCUCCUGGAUCUUGAGGUCUGCCUUCUGUGGAAGAGAAAUACUAGAAUCAAUGAACUGUGAACUAGAGCCCUGGGAUUAUCAACAGCUGAAAUUUUGAGAGCCACCUUAUAGAAAGCCUAACAGCAAAGACUGGAGAGAGGCUUCCAGCCAACAGCCAGCAAGGAAUUGAAGCCCUCAGUCCAAUAGCAGUGAGGAAUUGAAUCCUGCCAACAGCCUCGUGGAUGGGUUGCUUGCUGCCUGAAUCUAACUCCUGCUACUACUGCAAAUACCACUGCCAUGAAUAUCCUCAGCAAGACCCCCUUCCAGACCUGCAUGAACAGUUGUGUGAAAUACCGACUGCUUCAUGCUGGGCUUCAGACAUGAGAGGCUAGGAGUAGGAGGCAUGCCUUGUUCAAAGGUCUUAAAUGUGGGAAAUAGUCUACAGUUUGGAAGACACCAGAGAAAAAUGCUCCACAGCUCGCCCUGGUGACUCACUACAACUUAUGGGAAGAUGUGAGAUUAUUCUGUAUUCUAAUGUAUGUUAGAAGGCACACUCCACCCAAAGCCUUCCUGUGUGUUCCUCCCUGUGAGCUCACAUCCCGUUCACCAGCUGACUGGGAAGGGAAGUCAGGACCAGCCCUGACCCCAUCACACCAUCAUAACCUCGGGAUGGCAGGGCUGGAAGGCACCUCAGACGUCAUCCUUUGCAGACUCUUCAUUUUACAGUGAGAGGCAUGACGUGUCCACAGCUGGUUAGUGCCAAAGCCUGGGACAGGCUUCACAUUGUCCAGCUCUUAGUCAGAGCACUGUUGACAAUGUCUGCCUUCACUUGGAAUUCAGCACCUGCUUUCAGUAUAAACCCCUGCAUUUCACUAAAACUGAGCAGACUGCUGGUUUAAAAAAGAGAGGUCCAUCCAGCAGGGAUGAUGCUUUUCCUCGUUGAAAGAGGACAUUCACCUAAUGGGAGACCUGGAGUCAGAAUCUUUCUGAUGUGUGACUUGGCACAGUAACACAAUGCAGGAUGCUGGUGUGUUAAUAAAAAUAAAAAUUGCAUCGCCUACCUCAGAGUCGACAACAAUGUCAAGGAGUUAAUAGUCUUGGCAACACAGAGGCCACUGGACAGAGGCAUAACCUUGCGUGGCAGCUGCACGGGAAUUGGAUUUGGCUCAGGUGUUUCAGAUGACUAAGUUGGGAGCAUUUGACAAUUUUAGAUGUGGGAUGAAAAUUGCCUUAUCUAAGACAUAGGGCACCUGCAGAAGUAAAGAGAAACAGAACAAAGGGGACCACUCUUGGUAUAGAAGUUCAUCUCGUCGGGAGCAUCUGUGGUUCUUUUAUAAGCAAUGUACAUUCUACAAUAGAGGCAGACCCAGAAAUAAUUCAGAUAUUGGAGUUAGAAGAUCAGGAUUCUAAAAAAACCAAAAGAUCCUGCCUUACUAUGCACCUAUGGCCCUUCAAAGGCGAGAGUAGAAUCUGCUAUGAUUUAGAAGCAAGCAAUAAAAAGUACACAUCAGGUGAGUGGAUGCUAGCUAAGACCUUGGGCUUUGGGGUCAGACAGGCCUGGGUUUAAAUCCUGGCCCUGUCAUUCUGGGGAAACAUGUUUCUGCUUUCUCCUAUAUGAAAUAGAGGCAGUGGGUAUCCUGAACAUGUCACCUUUACUUGUCCAGCUUGUCAGUUAGGGUUUGGUUAGGGAAACAGAGCUGCUGUAAACAUUAUGGGAAUAAGGGAUUUUAUUCAGAAUUGGAGCCUGCACAGAUGUAGAAGGAGGCAUGAAGAGGGUAUUGGAGGAUUGCCCACUAUGCAGUCUGCAUCCUGAGUCUGUGGUGAGGCUGGACACGUUCAAGCUUACAGGAGAACUGGAGAAAGCAAGCAACACAGCGGUGGAAGUGAGACCACUGAAGCAGGGACAAGAGUGGAGGAGACAAACUGGACUCGGAACAAACUGGGAGCCUCUGCAUCCAUCCGUAACUGUCUGGCCGUGACAGUGGUUAGAGAGGAGUGGCUUCUGUGAAACUCUCACAAUCUCAAAUCUCCCACAAGUGCCUCUUUCAGCUAACUCUAAACUGGUACCAUAGAGGAAAUGGAUUCUGAAAACUUGGUCUCCAACCUUAGACAAAUUGAAUAAUUAAUAUGUCCUCUCCUGCUUCUUCUGUAACUGAAUUUGCAUUGGGAAGCAGGCCUGUCACUCUCAGACUUUGUGGUUUGAGUAGGGCUCACUUCAGCACCACCUUUUCCUCUUCUCAGCCCCACGGACUGGCAUGAGACUCAGGCCUGGCCAACUGAAUGUCACACACCUAUGACCAUCAGUUGGCUCAGAGAUGGACUCAGGACACCAUCACAGCCAAUGAAACCCUGUUAGGGAAAUUUGUCAGAACCAUACAAAGAAAUAGCUCCACUUUUCCAUAGAGAUGAGACAUAAGCCUGGACUAACUGGUGUCCAAUUUGCCAUCAAGAGAGCAUCUGAGAAGACAGAGGAAAACUGGGGAAAGCGAAGUCUAAGGAAGGUGAGUAAGGACAAGUCCAGUUGAUAUUACAUGAAUCACCUGGACCUGGAAAUCAAGGCAUUGCUGGAUUCAAGGCCAAGAAAAAUUGGAAGCUGGCUUGAAUCAGGUUCUAUCACUUGCAGUUGAAAAGGUCCAGACUAAUAUGAUAACAAAGGAGCAAGUAAGCAAGAUUCUGCCCUACAGUAAGUGCUCAAUGCAUGUCAGCUGGUAUUAUUAUUAUACAGACUUCUAUUUCUAGCCCUUUUAUUUCUACCACCUCUCUUCUGUGUUUUAUGUAAAGUGCAUAAGGAUUGUUCUGUUUGGAAACAUCAAACCAUAUAAAAUGACACCAGCAGGUCCCUUUCUGUCUGUCAGUGUCCACAAGCUCAACAACCAGGAUCAGCAGACAAAAACAGCUAAGCUGGAGUCAGUGUUUUUAUGAAGAAACAGGAAAAGAACUUACUUGGGAACUGUAGCUCAUCCUCCAAUAUUCUCCAUCCUAUCACUCUUUUCAUGACAGUUUCUUCUUGGCCCUGAAGUUGCCUUGUCAUGGCUCCCUGCCUCUGUCCUUUCUCUGUCUCACUUACAUCUUCCAAUGAGGAAUACAGCAAGACCUUUGGAUGAGGACCUCCAAAGGUCCUCAGUAUCCUUAGGACACUCGGUGCAGAACUAGAGGGACUGAGAGGAGGAGCUUUUGCAGGUUAAAUGACUAGUGAAUGGCCUUUCCUUAUAUUUCCAUUAGAAAUGGGAUUAGCUACACCUGAGAAGGAAUGACUUUGGAACAACUGAUCCCUAGCUUUCCAAAAUAUGAGAAAUUGAGAUGCAGGGAGUAGUAAGCACCUAGUUAAUGAGUCAAAGCAUAUUUAUAAAGUUCACAGGGUACAUAGCAUAUAGCAGCUGUUCUCUAUCUCAGUUGAGUUUUGACUAGGAAAUGGGCUUAGGAUAAAACACAUAGGCUUUUGAGUAAUCAUUUGUAAGAAAUUGUAGAUAGUGACCACAGUUUAAUAGCAUUAGAUAAAUUAUGAAAAGUCACUGAAAUACCUUCUCUGGAAAAUGUUAGAAGCUCAAGUACAAUGGCUUAGUUAAAGGCAGGUGGGGGAGAAACUUGAAGAAUGUGGUCCAGUACAAGAAUACCCCAUUUUUCCCCUAAGGCAAUGAAAAUGACAUGAAGUAAUCAUAGUUAUUUAUACAGGAACAAUUUAGGAGACUUAGAAUAUUCACUUCUUUUGCCUUCUAGCUGAGCAUCAAAAUUCUCUCUCUGUCUCUGCCUCUCUCUCUCUAUUUUCCACUUCUAGCUCCAACUAUUUUAAAUCCCUCCCCCAAUAGAACUCAUAACAAACAUAAAACAACAUUUGUUGUAUGUUUACAAUAGAUGUUCAAGCUAAUAUUUAUGUAGGCUUAGCCCUGGCAUUAAAUUAAGGUUUGGUUCACCAACAGGGUGCCUAGAGACUUCACCUCUAUUUCCAUGAGGGACUGAACAGCCUCUUGAGAAGGGACUCAUCAAAAUGGAAGAGUUGGCAAUAAGAAGUUUGGCUAAAUAACCAAGCACUGAAGUUGCAGAGGAGAAAGGAUUUGAAAGGCAGUACAGUGUCCAGGGGCAAGUUGGCAAUUUUUAGCAGGAGGUGAAGUGAUGCCAGCAGAGGUAACAGUGCUCAGAGGGACCAGUAGUCCCCAGGAGGAGCAGGGGAAUCCCCAGUGGAUCUGAUUUGUUCAAGAGCACAUGUGAGAUUAUCAGCUGGCGUUACAAUUUUGGAGUGGCAGUGAGAAGCAGUGAAUUUGAGGUCACUCAAUUUGCAGACCCCAAAGGGUGAAAUGUUGAGAAACAUGAGUUACACAUGUAUUUAACAGCUCUUGUGUAUUAUCACAAAUCCUAUUUCACCUCUCAUGCCCCCGAGGCUUUGGUGUCCAGUUCUCUGAAGACUUCAUCAAUCCUCAGCCAUAAAUCACCUGAGAGCAACUCACCUUGCUUCAUACUAUGAAGCUCCCUGAUGUCACAGCAUGGCAGGCCUGUGGCAACCCCUCAACACUUAUGCAUGAUCCCAAACAGCUAGAGGAUUAACACCUACGGUGUAACCCUUGACCAGCAGGAAAUGGAAAUUACUGUCUUUUUGUCCCCGCAGGUGAAUGGUUCUAAAAUGCAUUUUAUAAGCCUUCUGAAAUAGUCCCACAGGUCAAGCACCUACUUGCUCCAGUGGUGACCAACUCAAUGAUGCAUCCUUGGGUUGACUCUCCCUCCUUUCCAGUUCACUUUCCCCGCCCCUCACUCCUGCACCUCAGCAUCACAUUCCUGAAUAAACCACUCACACAUCUGUCUUAUUUCAGACUCUGUUUGGGGGAAUCCACAAUAAAAAUUUGUCAUUUUGAGUUAAACAUUGCUCUCACCUUGAAGACAUAUUUCCAUACCUAGAGAUUUCUGAAGUUCUCUCCCUUUUCCUAUCAUCUCCUUUGUGCUUUGUCUGACCUCCAUGUUACAGAGCCCCAUGAUAUUUAGAGCCAGUACUGCUAGGGAAGUAGUUCAGUUGUGUUUUAAAUGGUUCAGCAACUUGUAACAUCAACUGAGAACCAGAGGAAUACACUUGGAGGCCAAGAAAAAAAUGUUAGCUAAUAUGUACCAUACAGUAUGAUUCCUUGGGUAAGGGAAAGUAUAUGCAAGUGACAGAGGAAAAUUGAAAGUUGUAGCCCUUUUUUGGACUUUAGAUUUGGAAUUAAAGUUUCUCUUCUCUUGAAAGACCUUCUUUUUGUGGAUAAUGAUGAAUCUGAAGACCAGAACAGUGGGCCAAUUUGCCUUAGUUGAGAGUGGCAAAUAAAUGAAGAACUGAAGAACGUAUCUCUUUAACUAGUGCUCCUUUGUUGAGAAGAUACAAAACAAACAAUUGAAGGGUAUGGAUGAAGCCAUUGGCUUAUUCAUGUCUCUGUUGAUCAUAAUGAGAUUAAUAUAUAUAGGACAUUCACACAAAGAGGAUAUUGACUCGAUGGCUUACAGAUUAUUAGAGUUAGAAAUGUGACCUACUACUAAAGGAAGAAUGUUUCAGGUGUGGAUCUCUGAUUUAAAAAAUACACCACACUUGCCUCAGUGAAGCAAGUCAACUUAGGUGCUGAUACAAUGCCACUGCAGCUGUGCUGAGUUCAUGAAAUCAGAUCCCACUCUCUUCACCUACCCCUACCGUAUUCAUCCUACUUUCCGUCUGCUCUGCCCUUCCCAUUUGGUAACCUAGUCAUGAAACACCUGGCUCUGGGUCCUUCCUUCAGCAUCACUCCACGUUGUACUGCUGGCAUCGCUUUUCUUGGCACAGAACCUCUUAGGGCUGCUAUCCUAGGAGUAGGUGCUACUCAGGCUGGCUUAGUCCCAGGCUUCACUCACUUCUUGGCCCAUGGCCAGGAGGACCGGAAAGAACAAACUCUCUGCACAUCUCUGCAGGUGGCCACAGAGCCCCCAUCUGAGCCUUGCUGAUGGAGAAGAGCAUGCUGCAUCACAAGAUAACUGUGUGGCUCUGUUCAAAAACCUUGUUUAGAAGUUAUUAUUUCUUUUAUUGCAUUAGAAUUUGCCUCACUGUAGCUUUUGUGCUUCUGUCCUGGUUCAGCCUUAGAUAGCAGUGCAGCCUGGUCCAUGUGAAAGCUCUUGCAAUAGGCCUUUCUGCUAGUCAGGAGUUCUCAGACCCAUCCCUACUCUUCACUUUUCUCAAGACUAAUAUCAGACUCCUGGGCUCUUCAAGGUUUCCUCAUAUGAUAAAAGUUCUAAGCCCUCCAUUGUCCUAGUCACUGUCCUCUCUGUUCCAUCCCUGUCUGCCCUUCCAAGAUGCUGCACCUGGAGAUGAAUUUGUCCUUCCUGGGGCAAGUCACCAUGAGAUGAUUACUUUUGGAUCAUACUGAAUUUGUGGGUUAAAUAAACUCAUAGGUCUUUAUCUCAUGCACUAAAUCCAAAUUCGAUCUCUUGCCGUAAAUCAUUUUUUUGAAUAGCUGAACAAUAAGUAAAUAAUACACAAAUGAAAACUAAUCAAUAUUUGAACAUCCUCAGUAUUUUCAGCCCUAGUUUGAGCCAGACAUAGCUCAUCUUGUAUACUUCACUAAGGACACUUUAUACGAUCAAGCAAUUAAUAUUAUGAUGUCAUGUCUCGCAAGCCCCAUAGUGUCACUUCCAGUCUCUUCACCACAAAGAACGUUGAAGCCUUCGUAUUUUUUUGAAAAUCAUAUUUCUAGCUGCAGGAUGGGAUGUAAGAAAAGUUCAGAUUAGGAUUAUUCUAGGCUCCUGACUAUAACUAAAAUCCUGAUUUUUUAUGGAAAGGAAUGAGGAUCAUUCCUUCAAAUUAGAUUUUUGUGAUAAAAAGAAAAAAGUUGGUAAUCUAUUCAAAAUUGUAACAAAAAUAACUGCAUUUUUCUUUGGAAAAUAAUAGUUGAUUCCUUUUUGCUUUUUUUACUUAUGAAUUGGGGUGCAAUAGAGUUUAAUAAAAAUGAUGUGAAACACUCUUAUAAGGCUAAUUUAUCACAUUUGCUUCAAGGAAUUGUCCUUUCUAACAAAAUUGUGAAAUGGAACUGAACAGUAGCAUGAUGAGGCCUCUACCAGGAGGAGGUACAGAACAAGGCAGGAGGUCAGUGGUUAAAGGACUCCUUGCUUAUGCUCAAGAAAUGUGGACCUUAUUAGAGGUGACACAGUGAAAUCAGUCACCUGAUUUCGCAGGUGACUGUGGAGCAAGAAUGCAAAUCCACAAUAUUAGGAUGAAUGUGAGAGGAGAAGGGAAGGAGGCCAUGAGGGAAAAAAGGACAUCUAAUUGGGUCUGAAAGGAAGGGUAGAAUUUAAGUAAAGAGCACUGUGUACAUAUGGGAAUACCAUGUACUUUCUCAUGGAGAGAGGCCUUCUGACAGUCCUGCAUUGAUCCUGCUUCUUUGACCAUCCCUUGUUAGCCAGCAGGUCAUUUGGCCUCACUAGUUGCCUCAGUGCUGAGUGAUAGACUCAGCAGUCCCCAGCCUCUUUGGCACCAGGGACUGGUUUUGUGGAAGAUAAUUUUUCCAUGGAUCAGGGAGAGGAUGGUUUCAGGAGGAUUUAAGUGCAUUACAUUUACUGCGCACUUUAUUUCUAAUAUUAUUACAUUGUAAUCUAUAAUGAAAUAAUUAUACAAUUCACCAUAAUGUAGAAUCAGUGGGUGCCCUGAGCUUGUUUUCCUGCAACUAGAUGGUCCCAUCUGGGGGUGAUGGGAGACAGUGACAGAUCAUCAGGCAUUAGAUUCUCAUAAGGAAUGCACAACCUAGAUUCUUCACAUGUGCAGUUCACCAUGAGGUUCACGCUCCUAUGAGAAGCUAAUGCCUCCGCUUAAACGACACAGGAGAUGGAGCUCAGGUAGUAAUGAGUGAAAUGGGGAGCAGCUGUCAAUACAGAUGAAGCUUUGCUUGCUUGCUUGCCGCUCACCACCUGCUGUGCAGCCUGGUUCCUAACUGGUACUGGUCAGUGGCCUGUGGUUGGGAACUCCUGGUAGACUAACAACAGAACAAAGCCAAGUCUCAAGGAGAGACAGUUGUAUAGAUGCCUUCCUGCCCAUUCUCUGUUGUGGGGGCCAAAUCACACAAGACCUGCAUUUAAUUCUUUAUGGGCUUAGGCUGUGAAUUAAUGUAAAAUCUCAAGAAACCAAGAUGACAGGCCAGGGACUAAAGAGCAAAAGAAAGACCACAGCUAUGGUGGGCGAGGAGACAAAGUCAAUCCCACCGGGACAGAUGGUGAUGACCCUUAUCAGUUCUAUUCUGUCAUCUCAUAAAGGUAAAGACUUGUGUUCUUUUUCUUAGGACAGUCCAGAUGGUAUUGGCUGUGCUUAAAGAAAAUUCAGACAUGUGUGAGUGUGGCUGGAAUUGACAUUCAUGAGGUCUUCCGUUUUUAUUUGAAAGGGGCAGAGUAAGUAUUUGUGAACAUUGGAUGGUGAUGAAGAAAAGGAAAUGGUGUCUAGUAUCCUACCUGGCCUCAUGGACCAAGACUAGAAGGAUUAGAGGCAAAGUCGAAGGAAGCUGCCACCAUAAAGGGUUCUGUGAAUGCUGUUUGGCUGAAAUGUGUGACAAAGCACUGGGAAGGGUUUCAUUGCAUUAGCUCAGGCCAUAGCACGACCCUUAACCAACACCUUAAGGUGAUGGUCCCCUUGGCAUAAAUAUUGGUGUUAAAAUCGAGGUUAACCUUAGUGAUAGUAUGGUUAAGAGUCCCCUGCAUGACUUUGGAAGUUGAAGAUGCUGAUCAGGAGAACUAGAGCAGGAAAGAGAAAAUAUGACUGAGGCUAAGUGGUGACUUGGUAUUGACUGAUAGGUGAACACAGGAAUGAAUUUCAGCGAGAACCCCCAGUAACUGUCUGGGGAGUGGAGACUGUGUAUGAACAGGACAGAAAAAAAAGCAGAUUCGGGUAGUGUCCUGUCGUGUGUCUCUUUUACAGUCCUGAAAUGAAGGACUUUCAGUGUUUUCAUUGAGCACCAAUCAAUUCCCUCUUUACAAAAGACCAUAUUGGAACAGCAUCAAGGUUUAGGGAUAUUAAAGCAAUACAGUGACACUGGAAUGACCACUGAGAACCAGCGAACUUCUUCAGCCCUUAUAUCCUCAGGCACUCUGGAAGCCAUGAAUCUGGUUUUCUUGCUAAACUGUGUGUACUGCACAGAGUACAAUGGUAAAGGAACAAAUAUUGGCUCUAAAAUCUCUUGUAAAGGGAAGGGUGGUCAUCCCUUUAGAUGGCAAAUUGAGUUUCUGUAAUGGGGUUUGCUCUGAUGUUGCAUUUCCACUCAGGCAUCAAGACAUUCUGUUGUUUAAAGCCCUAGAUGGGUGAUAUUUCUUUCAUGUGCAAGGCCCGAAUGCUUCACUGAGCUCUCUCUUACCCACACACACUCAUUUAAACCUUGGUCAAAAUUAUCCUUUAGCAUCUGCAUCUUCUCAGAAGGCGGAAGGGUCAAUGGGGAUAAUCAGGAGAGAUGAGGUGCACUUUCAGAAGUUGGAGCUGAGAAGGUGAUGGAAGUAUCUGUAAAGUCGUUGAACAGCUGCACGAACUAUAGGGGAAGCAUUUCUGGAGGCAAAAGGGGAAUAGCCCUUUCCUCUUAAACCAAAGCGAGCACAGCUCCAAAGGCACUUAGAUGGAGAGUUCAUCGGAAUGUGAGCUCUAAGAGUGGCUGAGAAUCUGACAAAAACAGCCAUCUGCCAACCCAAAAUUAAAACUCCUCUGUUUAGCACCCAGUAGAGAAAGUCAACCAGAUUGACUUCGCAAACAAAGGACCUUAAAAGCAUCACCUAAGAAAGUGUGUCAGGAUCCACAGACAUCCAGAGCAUUCUCUAUGGUUCAUUACUUACAUUAUUCUUAUCUAUUUACACAUAAUGUUUAGAUGUAAAAUCCUUACAAUGAAAAGGGUGUAUAUGCUUUAAAAAAGGCACAACAGGGAUCUAGAACUAGAAAUACCAUUUGACCCAGCCAUCCCAUUACUGGGUAUAUACCCAAAUGAGUAUAAAUCAUGCUGCUAUAAAG